rnacentral:lncRNA from 1 species
GAUACGGUGAAGCGAGCUUUUAUGGGAGGCAGCUGUGCUCUGUGUCAGGCUCCCUUAGGUGAUGCCCAAGCUUAUAGACGGACAUUCACGGAUGAGGACAGACAUCACACUUCCCUGGGGAACCACGGGGUCAACCCCAGACCAGGUAGGAACCCUAAGCCCUGUCCUGUUUGCUGCCUGGCUCCAGGACCCUUCUGCCUAUUCCUAGAACAAUUCUUAGGCAGGGCCUUAGCUUUAGGCUGUCCCUGGUGGGCCUGUGAACACGUAAGCAAAGUGGGUCCUAGACUAAGGUAGACUUGGUAGCGGGGACUUUACCACGUCAUAGUGGAGCUCGGGAAGGCACUGAUCUGGAGGGAGACGAGGGAAUGGCCAUCACCCCUUGUAUAGAUAAACAGGUGACAGGUGGUCUCUGUGCCUGCUUCCUAGCCACCAGCAAGGUCAGGGCCGCCUCUCAGAGACCAAGCUAUUCUACGUUUGAAGGCCCAUGGGUUGCAUUUUUGUCUUCUUUUGGUUGUUUUUUUUUUUGGGGGGGGGGUAUAGAAUCUCAGUGUUGUCUCCCUGCCUUAGCCCCCAAGUCUCUGGGAUUACCCUGUGUCACAUCAUUUGGGCUUGUUCCACACAUUCCUCACCAGAGGAGACCCCAAUGUUCUGAAACCUGCCUGCAGUUCUGCCAGGACUUCUUGGAACCUCGGGCUCCCAAAGAGGCCCAUCCAGAAUAUCUAAGUCCCAGCAGCUUGCAAAGUGACCUUCUACACGGUCAUUUCAGGGUCCUUUGGGAAUGGCAG